rnacentral:hammerhead_ribozyme from 1 species
AUCCAUGUGACAAGUCCCAAAUAGGAUGAAACGCGUGUCAUGAAU